UUCCCUGAAUGACACAUGACUCGUAGUGCUUAACUGUAAAGUGAAACUGGUUGUUGUUAUAUUCGCUUCGUCUCGACUCCAUUUUGUUGCCUGGAAAAGCAACAAAAACGUUCACCCCAGACUGAAACGGUGAAAAAUAACCAAUAAUAGAUCCGAAAAUUGUGGAGAGGGAGAGAGCUCAGACUCACUAAUAUCCAGCAGGGACUCCAUAAUGAGUGAUGGGUCUAUGGAUCAUCCUCGGAACUUCAAGAGUAGAAGUGCACGGCUCUCAAUUUCAUUCAGGUUGGAUAGUUGUGGUAUUUCAGAAGAAAGAUCUGCUUCUCUCAAAUCCACUCUGAGUUCAAACCCCUCACACCUGAGAAACCCACAUCUGUAUAGGAAUAAAAUAAGAAGACACAGUUGGUGAUGAAGAUUUUGGUUGGUGAAUGAGAGGAAGACACUACUGCAGUACGCCUGCAUUUCCAUGAUGUGGAACAGACAUUUAAUAUACACUCGCUGAACAUUUACUUAACAUCUUUUACAUCUACUUAUGCAUACAAUUAUCUAAGCAACCAGAUUUCCUUUAUCACUACUUGUUUUGUUAUAUUACCAGGUUUAAAUUUGUGUAUUUGCUUGUAAAAUGUGGAAAAACACUACAAUUGUAUAUCUGUAAGAGCCAUUUGUCUUUGUAAAGGUGUCCACUAGGGGUCACUGUUCUAUAAUGAGUGAAUAUAGGUAGGAACCUUCCUUCAGGUGACAGGGGUUGCUGGAGAAAGGUGCAAACACACCUUUUUAUUUUUUAUUAUUAACAAAAAGCACCAACAUAACAAAACUCUCGUUGGGGAACAGGACCUACAUGUGUGUGUAUACAAUACAAAUGCAAAAAAAACAGUUUAAAGUCAUUCAUAAAACAAUCAAAAGAAGGCUUAGAACACCUCCACUUACUGCAAUGAAUAUGAUAUUUACCUAUCAUCAUAAUCAUAUUGAGUAAAUCAGAUACUGAUGAAUCUAUAUUGUCCAUAUAAAAGAGUAUGUGUGACAGGUUGAAAGUAGGGAUAUUAUCCAUCUUAAGUGACAGCCAAUUGUGUAUCUCAUACAAGAAGCUGUUAGAUACAGGGCAAAAAAAAAGAACAUGUGUUCCAGAGUCUCAUCAGCCACCUCACAAAAAACACAAGGGUCUACAUCAAAUUUAAAUCUUCUUCUAAGAAAGUCAGCGACCAGAUAUAUCUUAUAGAUUAUUUUAAAGUGGGUCCCUUUAACUUUUGGGGAAAUGGGCCAUUUAAUGAUAUUAAAAUGUGAUUUUUCUAUGGGCAAUGUAUCCAUGUCCGGAAUCUGUACACACACUCCUUUGUUGUAACCAAAGAAUUUAUUAUUACAUUUAUUGUGAAAUAAAGUGCAAUCAUUAAUAACUAAA